rnacentral:rRNA from 1 species
UUGAGCUUGAUCCCUGGCUCAGAUUGAACGCUGGCGGCAGGCCUAACACAUGCAAGUCGAGCGGUAGAGAGAAGCUUGCUUCUCUUGAGAGCGGCGGACGGGUGAGUAAUGCCUAGGAAUCUGCCUGGUAGUGGGGGAUAACGUUCGGAAACGGACGCUAAUACCGCAUACGUCCUACGGGAGAAAGCAGGGGACCUUCGGGCCUUGCGCUAUCAGAUGAGCCUAGGUCGGAUUAGCUAGUUGGUGAGGUAAUGGCUCACCAAGGCGACGAUCCGUAACUGGUCUGAGAGGAUGAUCAGUCACACUGGAACUGAGACACGGUCCAGACUCCUACGGGAGGCAGCAGUGGGGAAUAUUGGACAAUGGGCGAAAGCCUGAUCCAGCCAUGCCGCGUGUGUGAAGAAGGUCUUCGGAUUGUAAAGCACUUUAAGUUGGGAGGAAGGGCAGUAACUUAAUACGUUGCUGUUUUGACGUUACCGACAGAAUAAGCGCCGACUAA